GAUGAAGAACGUAGCGAAAUGCGAUAAGUAAUGCGAAUUGCAGAAUUUCCGUGAGUCAUCGAAUCUUUGAACGCACAUUGCGCCCCUUGGUAUUCCGAGGGGCAUGCCUGUUCGAGCGUCAUUAUCACCCCUCAAGCUUUGCUUGGUGUUGGGGCCUGCUGUAAUAGGCAGCCCUUAAAAUCAGUGGCGGUGCUUCAAGGCUCUAAGCGUAGUAAUUCUCCUCGCUAUAGUGUCUAGUGGUUGCCAGCCAGAACCCCCCAAUUUUCAUGAUUGACCUCGGAUCAGGUAGGGAUACCCGCUGAACUUAAGCAUAUCAAUAAGCGGAGA
rnacentral:misc_RNA from 1 species